rnacentral:rRNA from 1 species
GCCUACGGGACGCAGCAGUGGGGAAUAUUGGGCAAUGGGCGCAAGCCUGACCCAGCAACGCCGCGUGAAGGAAGAAGGCUUUCGGGUUGUAAACUUCUUUUCUGGGGGACGAACAAAUGACGGUACCCCAGGAAUAAGCCACGGCUAACUACGUGCCAGCAGCCGCGGUAAUACGUAGGUGGCAAGCGUUAUCCGGAUUUAUUGGGUGUAAAGGGCGUGUAGGCGGGAAUGCAAGUCAGAUGUGAAAACUAUGGGCUCAACCCAUAGCCUGCAUUUGAAACUGUAUUUCUUGAGUGCUGGAGAGG